rnacentral:rRNA from 1 species
ACCUAAGCCAUGGCACCCUGAACACGCCUGAUCCCGUCUGAUCUUGGAAGCUAAGCAGGGUCAGGCCUGGUUAGUACUUGGAUGGGAGACUACCUAGGAAGAGCAGGUGCUGUAGGCG